rnacentral:pre_miRNA from 9 species
UCUCGACAGAGUAAAACUUAACUCCAAUUUGUAUGGAGUUGAAACGUUUGCCCACGUUUGCCGCUAGGGGCGCUGUUCCAAAUGCAUACAAAUUUCAGUUAACUUUUACGCUAUCGA